rnacentral:rRNA from 1 species
AUGCCAAAGGACGGGCUUGCGUCUGAUUAGCUGGUUGGUGAGAUAAUAGCUUACCAAGGCAACGAUCAGUAGCUGGUCUGAGAGGAUGAUCAGCCACAUUGGGACUGAGACACGGCCCAGACCUCUACGGAGGGCAGCAGUGAGGAAUUUUCCGCAAUGGGCGAAAGCCUGACGGAGCAAUGCCGCGUGGAGGAUGACGGCUCUUGGGUUGUAAACUCCUUUUCUCAAAGAAGAAAAAAAUGACGGUAUUUGAGGAAUAAGCAUCGGCUAACUUCGUGCCAGCAGCCGCGGUAAGACGGGGGAUGCAAGCGUUAUCCGGAAUUAUUGGGCGUAAAGCGUCCGAAGGUGGUUUUUGAAGUCGACUGUUAAAGCUCAAAGCUCAACUUUGAAUAUGCAGUCUUUGAUACUCAAUAACUAGAGUUUGAUAGGGGUAGAGGGAAUUCUCGGUGGAGUGGUAAAAUGCGUAGAGAUCGAGAAGAACACCGGUGGCGAAAGCGCUCUACUGGGUCAAUACUGACACUCAUGGACGAAAGCUAAGGGAGUGAGUAGGAUUAGAUACCCUAGUAAUCUUAGCUGUAAACGAUGGAAACUCAGUCUUGGAGACAUUCAGGGCUUAAGCUUACGCGGUAAGUUUCCCGCCUGGGGAGUAUGCUCGCAAGAGUGAAACUCAAAGGAAUUGA